UUCCGGUUGAUCCUGCCGGAGGCUACCGCUAUUGGAGUUCGAUUAAGCCAUGCGAGUCGAGAGUCUUAGGGACUCGGCGUACCGCUCAGUAACACGUGGGUAACCUGCCCUAUGCUGGGGAAUAACCUCGGGAAACUGAGAAUAAUACCCCAUAGUUCACCACGCCUGGAACGGUGGGUGGAUGAAAGCUCCGGCGGCAUAGGAUGGGCCUGCGACGUAUCAGGUUGUAGGGGGUGUAACGUACCCUCUAGCCAUCAACGCGUACGGGUGUUGGGAGACAUAGCCCGGAGAUGGAUUCUGAGACACGAAUCCAGACCCUACGGGGUGCAGCAGGCGCGAAAACUUGGCAAUGCGAGCAAUCGUGACCAGGGAACUCCAAGUGGCUGGGGUAAUACCCAGUUUUUUCUUGACUCUUCAAAGGUCUUGGAAUAAGGGGUGGGUAAGGACGGUGCCAGCCGCCGCGGUAAUACCGGCGCCUCAAGUGGUAGUCGCUUUUAUUGGGCCUAAAACGUCCGUAGCCGGUCUGGUGCAUUCGUGGGUAAAUCAACCCGCUCAACGGGUUGAAUUCUGCGAGCACGGCCAGACUUGGGACCGGGAGAGGUGUGGGGUACUCUCAGGGUAGGGGUAAAAUCCUGUCAUCCUGAGAGGACCACCUGUUGCGAAGGCGCCACACUAGAACGGAUUCGACGGUCAGGGACGAAACCUAGGGGCACGAACCGGAUUAGAUACCCG
rnacentral:rRNA from 1 species